UACGGAGGGUGCGAGCGUUGUCCGGAAUCAUUGGGCGUAAAGGGCGCGUAGGUGGCCCGCUCAGCGUGCGGUGAAAGCUCGGGCUCAACCCCGAGUCGGCCGUGCGAACUGGUGGCUCGAGCACUGUAGAGGCAGGCGGAAUUCCGGGUGUAGGCGGUGGAAUGCGUAGAGAUCCGGAAGAACACCGGUGGCGAAGGCGGCCUGCUGGGCGAGUCGCUGACACUG
rnacentral:rRNA from 1 species